AUGCAGAACUCUUUCCGAGGCUCUGCAAUCGGAAUGGGUAUACUCUAAACACUUGUGCGAGUAUCCACUGGAGGGCAAGUCUGGUGCCAGCAGCCGCGGUAAUUCCAGCUCCAGUAGCGUAUAUUAAAGUUGUUGCGGUUAAAAAGCUCGUAGUUGGAUCUGUGUUUCGAGCCGUCGGUUCGCCGCCCGUCGGCGUUUAACUGACGCGACUUCGAAACGUCCUGCCGGUUGGCGGUCGGUCGCGCGUCUUAUCUUCGGAUUCGACGGACUUGCGACGCGCCAGUGUUUUCACCCGUUCCCGAUACUCUUCACCGAGUGUCGAGACGGGCCGGCACGUUUACUUUGAAUCAAACUGAGUGCUCAAGGCAGGCAAAUUUUACCGCUUGAAAGAUCUUGCAUGGAAUAAUGGAAUAGGACCUCGGUUCUAUUUUGUUGGUUUUCAGAACCCCGAGGUAAUGAUAAAUGGGGACUGACGGGGGCAUUAGUAUUGCGGCGUUAGAGGUGAAAUUCUUGGAUCGUCGCAAGACUACCUAAAGCGAAAGCAUUUGCCAAGGAUGUUUUCAUUAAUCAAGAACGAAAGUUAGAGGUUCGAAGGCGAUCAGAUACCGCCCUAGUUCUAACCAUAAACGAUGCCAGCCAGCGAUCCGCGGUGGUUCGUUUGUAAUGACCCCGCGGGCAGCUUCCGGGAAACCAAAGCUUUUGGGUUCCGGGGGGAGUAUGGUUGCAAAGCUGAAACUUAAAGGAAUUGACGGAAGGGCACCACCAGGAGUGGAGCCUGCGGCUUAAUUUGACUCAACACGGGAAACCUCACCCGGCCCGGACACGGAAAGAUUGACAGAUUGAGCUCUUUCUCGAUUCUGUGGGGUGGUGGUGCAUGGCCGUUCUUAGUUGGUGGAGCGAUUUGUCUGGUUAAUUCCGAUAACGAACGAGACUCCGGGCAUGCUAACUAGUUAUGCGGCCCCGAGCGGUCGGCGUCCAACUUCUUAGAGGGACAAGUGGCGUUCAGCCACACGAGAUUGAGCAAUAUAACAGGUCUGUGAUGCCCUUAGAUGUCCGGGGCUGCACGCGCGCCACACUGAGCGGAUCAGCGUGUGUCUACCCUUCGCCGAGAGGCGUGGGGUAACCCGCUGAACCCCACUCGUGAUAGGGAUAUUGGGGAUUGCAAUUAUUUCCCAUGAACGAGNNNNNNNUUUGCCAGCCGCCGGCAUGGGGCUGCGCUCCACA
rnacentral:rRNA from 1 species